rnacentral:lncRNA from 1 species
ACUGGGGUCGAAGUAUUGAAGAGUGGGCCAGGUUCUCUGUUUUCCUCCAGGUCCAGGCGGCUGGGCAGGGCCAACGUAGGAAAUGAAGAACUGUGCACGGCGCACCCCAGGAAUUCAGCUUCCUCUCAAAAGCCAUGGUUGCGAGGUCGCGUGUUUAACCUCGCACUGGCUGCUGAGGGAAUUAACAGGCCUGCGCAGCAGCUUCGUUAGCUUCGAAAGAAAAUGGGCCCCGGCUCCCGCAGGAGGCCCGCCUGGCGCGCAGAUGUCGUUAUUAGAAUCCGGGACGUCGGUGGACCCUCUGGGUCUGGCUCCCUCGGGGCUUACGAUGAAAAAAACUGGGGGGCGCGUGUGUGUGUCAUGAGACUUCCAUUUCUGAAGGGGUCCUGUUCCAUAUCCUCAAGAAGGGAGUGCUGCACAGAGAGGCCAUGAGGAAUCUAAGCAGACAGGCCUUGCUGGGUUUCCCCACUCAGUCUGUUAAUAUUAGAUCAUACCUUUUUGUCCAGUCACAUUUUUACAUGGUUGUCAAUUAUGCCUGUCCAGUAAAGUCUCCAUAAAAGGCCCAAGAAGACAGAGUUGGAGUUCCUGGAUAGCUGAACAUGUGGAGGUUCCUGGAGGGUGGGGCACCUGGGCAUAAAAGCUCUGAGCCCCUUCCCUCAUACCUUGCUCUGUGCAUCCCUCCAUCUGUAUCCUUUGUAACAUUCCUUAUAAUAAAUUGGUAAAUGUGUUUCCCAGA